rnacentral:rRNA from 1 species
AUGGCGACAAUACCCGUCAAUCAUCGUAUUGAAAACGAUUUGGUUAAGUCGUACUCCUCUCAACUGCAUAUCUGUCAGCAACAUCUCAGCAGCCUCUAUCUGCCCAAUCUUACAGAACCCAUUGAUCAAUGCUCCAUAAGUACGAUCAUUCGGCUCGAUGCCAUUGCCAACGCAUUCAUCAAACACCUCAGACGCCCUCCGCACAUUCCCAGCCCGACAAUACGCAUUGAUGACCACACUGUAGAAGUAGACAUCGCCUGCGACAUUCUUCCUCUUCAUCUCAUCAAACACGGACUCAACCUUGCUGAUAUCGCCAGCCAUCGACAAACCAUCGACAAGGAUCGUAUACGUCCCGACAGUCAGCUCCACGCCUCCACUCUCCAUCUCCUUCAGCACCUCCGCAACCCGUCCAUCGUUCUUCUGGCGCGUGUAGCUGUCAAGCAGCGAGUUAUAGCAGCACGCAUUGAGCUUCACGCCGUGCCUUGGCAUUUCGUCGAGCAGGCGGCGGGCGUCGUCCAUGCGGCCGGCCUUGCAGAAGCCGUCGACGACGACCGAGGCCGAGAGGGGCGUGAUGGAGCCCGGGGAGAAAGCGAGCGCCUUCCUGAGGAGCUCGGCGGCGGGGAGCAGAUGGCCGGUCCGGCGGAGCGAGAGCAGCGACGAGGUGAGCGAGCGCGGGUCGAGGCUGCCGAGGCGGGAGACGGUGAGGUCGAGCGCCUCGGCCGCGCGUUCGGGGGCGCCCGCGUCUGCGUACGCGCGGAAGAGCAUGUCGUGGAAGGCCGCGACGGCGUGCCGCGGCGCGGCGCGCGGGAGGGAGCCGGCCGCGAGGUCGGCGAAGGGGACCGCGAGAAGGGUGGGGGUGAGGAGGGACGGGAGCAUCGACUUCGCCGCGCCGAAGCGGCGCGCGGCGAGGAGCGACGCGAAGGCGGCGAGCGGCGCCGGCCGCGUCUCGGGGACGGACGCCAUCGUCCGUCGGCGGCAGAGGACGGAGGUGGGGGGAAUGGGACUAGUGACUAG